AUACGGAGGGUGCAAGCGUUAUUCGGAAUCACUGGGCGUAAAGGACGCGUAGGCGGGUUGGCAAGUCAGAUGUGAAAUCCUACAGCUUAACUGUAGAACUGCAUUUGAAACUGCUAACCUAGAGUAUGGGAGGGGGAGAUGGAAUUAGUGGUGUAGGGGUAAAAUCCGUAGAUAUCGCUAGGAAUACCGAAAGCGAAGGCGAUCUCCUGGAACAUAACUGACGCUAAGGCGUGAAAGCGUGGGGAGCAAACAGGAUUAGAUACCCGAGUAGUCC
rnacentral:rRNA from 1 species